AAUUUAAUUGCUAAGUAUGAAUUGUUUGAUUAUAUUGAUACGAGUUUCAGUAAAUCUGAUUUUUAGAAAAUCUGCUAACUUUUCAACCAAAUUUGCACCAUCCUUUUAAUGCAUCUUUCAUCUGGAAGAAUUAUAACAUAAAGUUCGGUGUUAAUCUGUUCAUAAUUGUGUUCUUGGACAUGCAAUUGUCUGUCUGUGGUACUGCUUUUUAGGCUUAAAUAUACUGGUAGAUGGAAGGAUGAAAUGCCCAAGAGGUCAGGGAGACAGUUCUGGAUAUGCAAGGUAGGGUUUUAUUUUAUAUAUGCUUGAGGAAGGAGUUGAGCCUACUUUGACAAUUUCUUUAGCUUUAGAGUCUGACCCUGGCAAGCAUCCCCGAUGAAACAUUAAACAGCAUUGACUCUGAAUCAAUGGCUAUGAGCAUGUACGAC
rnacentral:lncRNA from 1 species